rnacentral:rRNA from 1 species
AGAGUUUGAUCAUGGCUCAGGACGAACGCUGGCGGCGUGCUUAAUACAUGCAAGUCGAACGAAUGCCAUCCGGUGGCAACACCGGUGAAGCGUUAGUGGCGAACGGGUGAGUAACACGUGAGCAACCUGCCCCGGAGACUGGGAUAACACCGGGAAGCCGGUGCUAAUACCGGAUACCCUCAUCGAGUCGCAUGGCCUGAUGAGGAAAUGGAUUCCGCUCCGGGAGGGGCUCGCGGCCUAUCAGCUUGUUGGUGGGGUAACGGCCUACCAAGGCGUCGACGGGUAGCUGGUCUGAGAGGACGAUCAGCCACACUGGGACUGAGACACGGCCCAGACUCCUACGGGAGGCAGCAGUAGGGAAUCUUGCGCAAUGGGCGAAAGCCUGACGCAGCAACGCCGCGUGGGGGAUGAAGGCUCUCGGGUUGUAAACCCCUUUCAGCAGGGACGAAACUGACGGUACCUGCAGAAGAAGCCCCGGCCAACUACGUGCCAGCAGCCGCGGUAAUACGUAGGGGGCGAGCGUUGUCCGGAUUCAUUGGGCGUAAAGAGCUCGUAGGCGGCUGACUAAGUCAGGUGUGAAACCUCCAGGCUCAACCUGGAGUCGCCACCUGAUACUGGUCUGGCUAGAGUCCGGUAGGGGACCACGGAAUUCCUGGUGUAGCGGUGAAAUGCGCAGAUAUCAGGAGGAACACCGGUGGCGAAGGCGGUGGUCUGGGCCGGCACUGACGCUGAGGAGCGAAAGCGUGGGGAGCGAACAGGAUUAGAUACCCUAGUAGUCC